rnacentral:lncRNA from 1 species
AUGGCCAACCCCUGCGCCUGGCCCAGGGGAGUACAGGCCCGUGGGGACCGGCACAUCUCAGCCCUAAAUCCGCAGAAAUUUCCCCUGUGCCUCCCCGCCGGGGGGGGGCUGGGGGAGGCGAGCUGCCUCGGUCCUUGUAAGGCCAGCACGGGUGGCACACGGGGCUGGGACAGGAGCAGAAUCCACGUGGCCGUGGUGCCCAGGGGCUGCGUGCCACCGUCGUUGUCCCCAGGGUGUGGGGACAUCUCCUGCCCUGCAGGGAAGGAUGCAAACCCCAAGGCAAGGGGUUGUGUCCUAACCCCCCCCCCAGUCUGCAGCACAGACCCUACGGCCAGACACCCCCUCCCCAAAUGGGGACCCCUCCACCCACCAUGGUCACCCCACAUUCCUGCUGCAGGACCCCCCCCAUCCUACCUGGUGGUCCCCCAGGUGCAGUGGGGCAGGUCCCCAGGUCUUGUGCAUCCCAAAACCCUGCAAACCACCCCAAAACAGCACAAACCACUGCCAGGCACGGAGAUACCCCAGCUACAAAUGGGGUUUCUGGUGUGGGUACCCCAAAACCACUGUUCCCCAUCCUCCUCCAGCCCCCAAGGGUGCCAUGGUCUCACCCUCACCCUCCAAUCCAUGCACUGGUUCCCCAGGCUGCUUUCAAGCCCUUGCAGACCGGUGCCACCUGGGCUCCAAUUUGGGUUGGAUUUGCCCAGAAAUGGGCUGAACGCCCCCAGCUGGGCUCCGGGACCCCCCUCCCGGUGUGAACACCUCGCAGCUCGGGGACCUGCAGCGGUGCUGUGCGCUCAGAGCCCUUCCCAGCAAAGAGCUACCAGCACGUGUCCUGCAGCGUUUGCACGGCUCUGCGGGGCUGCUCGCAUCUGUGCCGGGGUAAAGCGAGCCAUUGCCAUGGGGAAAAGACAAAAAAAUCCUAAACCGAGCACCUGGAAAUUCCCCUUUCCCCCCUAUUGUGAUUUUUCUCCCCUCUGCGCCCCCAGCGAGCUGGGUUUUCGGUGGCAGCGCCGCAGGGGAUGCUCCCUCCCCCCUCCUUUCCAGCAAGGAUUGGGUGUGGAAACCUUUUCUUGGUGGGGUCUGGAGGGGACAGAGGGGUCCUGCGUGAUUUGGGGACACGGGGCUUUGCCCUGCUCCAUCAGGAGACCCCCCAGCAGCUCCGGGUGCCCGGUGCCGCCGUGGCCAGCCCUGGGGGAGCCCGGACACGGGGACACCUUGCCCGCCCCCCCCCGGGCUGUUAUGUCUAGCAUGACCAGGAACAGCUCAGUGCGAGACUAUUUCCCCUCUCCUUUUGGGCUGUUAUUUCAGGGAACGGGGCUGAUUCACAGGAAAAAUAUGAAAUUUUCGGCUCCGCACGGCCAAGAUGGGCGAAUUUCAACGAAUCAGCAUUUUAAGAGAGCCUGGGCGUGUGUCUGUAGCUGGGAGGCUGAUGAAAUGAUUUAG